GGCGCUGUGGCGGAGUGGUUAACGCGAGAGAUUCGAAUUUCCCACGAAUUAUCUCUUCCUCUACGAGGGCGCAGGUUCGAAUCCUGCCGGCGUCG
rfam:Fomitiporia mediterranea MF3/22 unplaced genomic scaffold FOMMEscaffold_6, whole genome shotgun sequence.